CUGAUAUGGUACUCUACCGUAUCUACCCAAGGAUGCCUUUACAUCAGACUCCGGAUUUGAUCUAAUCAACUCCGAUUCUGUUAGUUUGUGUUAGAGUCGGUUCCUCUGCCUAUCAAGCUUCAUCAAGCUUGUUCUUAACGGCAUCAGUUUCUUCACCAAUGAACUUCUUUUUAAAAAAAAAGCCUUAAGAUUCAUGAACAUCUUAUGUCCAUUAGGAAGUUAGAAGAAAUAUCCCAAAAUAAAAUUUAUCAGAUCAAGAUCCAAGCUAGUCGGUUUGUGAACAUUUCACAUAAGCUCGACAUCCCAAACCCUAAGGUAAGAGAGCAUCGAAUUACUCAAGUCCAUAUCUCAUAUAGAGUUUUGGUGAUCGAUUUGCUUGGAACGUUCUUGAGCACAUACCAAGUAGUCUCUAAACAUAACCUCAGGUAGACCAGCAAACCCAC
rnacentral:lncRNA from 1 species